rnacentral:misc_RNA from 1 species
GUGAAGAACGCAGCGAAAUGCGAUAAGUAAUGUGAAUUGCAGAAUUCAGUGAAUCAUCGAAUCUUUGAACGCACAUUGCGCCCGCCAGUAUUCUGGCGGGCAUGCCUGUUCGAGCGUCAUUUCAACCAUCAAGCCCCCGGCUUGUGUUGGGGACCUGCGGCUGCCGCAGGCCCUGAAAAGCAGUGGCGGGCUCGCUGUCACACCGAGCGUAGUAGAUUUCAUCUCGCUCAGGGCGUGCUGCGGGUUCCGGCCGUUAAACCACCUUCAUAACCCAAGGUUGACCUCGGAUCAGGUAGGAAGACCCGCUGAACUUAAGCAUAUCAAUAAGCGGAGGA